AGCGAACGCUGGCGGCAGGCCUAACACAUGCAAGUCGAACGAACCUUUCGGGGUUAGUGGCGGACGGGUGAGUAACACGUGGGAACGUGCCUUUAUGUUCGGAAUAACUCAGGGAAACUUGUGCUAAUACCGAAUGUGCCCUUCGGGGGAAAGAUUAAUCGCCUUUAGAGCGGCCCGCGUCUGAUUAGCUAGUUGUUUGAGGUAAUGGCUCACCAAGGCGACGAUCAGUAGCUGGUCUGAGAGGAUGAUCAGCCACAUUGGGACUGAGACACGGCCCAAACUCCUACGGGAGGCAGCAGUGGGGAAUCUUGCGCAAUGGGCGAAAGCCUGACGCAGCCAUGCCGCGUGAAUGAUGAAGGUCUUAGGAUUGUAAAAUUCUUUCACCGGGGACGAUAAUGACGGUACCCGGAGAAGAAGCCCCGGCUAACUUCGUG
rnacentral:rRNA from 1 species